ensembl:lncRNA
AUAUGGAGAUUCCUAGGCUAGGGGUCUAAUCAGAUCUGUAGCCAUCAGUCUACGGCAGGGCCAUAGUAAUGUGGGAUCCAAGCCUUGCCUGCAACCUACACCACAGCUCAUGGCAACGCCGGAUCCUUAACCCAAUGAGCGAGGCCAGGGAUCAAACCCACAACCUCAUGGUUCCUAGUUGGAUUUCUUAACCACUGAGCCAUGAUGGGAACUCAUAUUUUCUCUUUUAUUUUGGCCACAUCCACGCGUGGAAGGUCUUGGUCCAAGGACUGAACCAUGCCACAGCAACAACUUGAACCACCUACUGCAGUGACAACUUUAGAUCCUUAACCCACUGAGCCACCUGGAAACUCCCUGUUUUUAAAAUUUUUUCCCUUUUUUUGCCUUAUAUUUUGCUCAAUCAAGUGACUAUUCCUUUCAUAUUUAUCUAAUUAAUUGGGAAUUCUAAUAAAAUUUCCCAGUCAAGAUAUUUACCAUUCUUUGAAUUAGACAUUUAUGAAAUUAAUUUAUUGAAAUUAAGAUAGUUACUAUGUUUCCCACCAGGCUACACUUAUAUUUCCACAGAGAGACCAGGGCCAGCAUGGCCGCUGUGUUUCAAAAGUUCUUAAAAACUGCCAGGAAUUAUAAAUAUAACCCUUUAUAUUGCAAGGGAAGCAUUACAAAUGUAGCAAUCUAUAUGGCAUAGAAAUCAGCCCAAUUAGCUGGGACACCAAACUUUCAGAGAGGAUGCCAUCCAUAAACUGUAAGUCUGGCUGUAGACAUCUCCUGGCCCAAUGUACUCUUCACGUUGCUAUAGAUUUCCAUAUCUACCUAUAUCCAGCUAGUUAGCUAGGUAACUAGUUAUGAAGGCUAUGUAACAAUUUUUCUUAGUACAUUUUCCUCUUUAUUACAAUUUUCUGGUUUCUCUUCUGAUUCAUAUUGUUAUUGACAUAAAUGAGAAAUAAGACUCUCAGAAUUCCUGCAUAACAUCAGUUUUCUUUCAUUUUCACCAAUGAAUGAGGUCUUAACUGGUACAAGACUCAGAGUGACCCUUUAUGCUUUCCCUACUUUAUACUCUAUUUUAUUCUUUUAUAGCUUCCAAUAAUAGAGAGGAAAAAAUCUGAGGAUGACAUGAAUUGUUUUUCUUUGGGGGUUAUUACUAUUAUCUCUGCUUGGAAAAUUGUUACUUUUUUGAAAUCAGUGCUUAGAGUCAAACUAUUUAUCAGAAUUUUCCUAGGUGUGUCUUUUUUUCCAUAAACUUAGCCUGGUGCAAAAUCAGAAUUUUUUACAAAAUCAGAAUUUUUUUCAAAAUCAGAAUAUUUUAUUUUCAUAUUCAUUUCAGUAACACCUCUUUUCCAUAAUUGUAUUCUUUUCUUUUGAAACUACUGCUUUUUAAAUUCUCCUAAUCAUACCCCAAUUUUCAUCUCACCGUAUUUUUAUUCUAUGCUUUAAGGUAAUUCGUUACUUGAUCUUCCAGGCCCCUAAUACAUAAUAACCAACCUCAAUUUAGAGUUAUUUCAUAAAUGACUGUGGUUGUUGCUGUUGGCCACUAUUCUCCAUUCUUUGGGAGCGGAUAAUACGUUCCUGCCCCAUAGAAUUCAGGUUUGGCUGUGUGACAUAUUUGCCCAAUAAAACUUGAAUUCCUGUGACCAAAGGUAUGUGUGAGUCUAGGCCUCAAGGGGAAAUGAGCUCCCACCAGCACUCUGGCUCAUCCCUUCUGCCAUGAGAAGGGCACUUUCCACAUCAAGACUAUGCCUUCUGCCUGGGGUAAAGAUGAAAACACAGGUGGAAUAUAGCUGCAUUUCCUCUGCAGGGGUCCCCCUGUAUUAUGAGCCAUAAAUAAAUCUUUGUGAUUUGUAAGUCACAGAGAUUUUUGGAUUUUGCCAACACAUUCUUGCUCACUGAAGUCUUGCCUCCUAAAUGCACAUGGUUGCAGGUAGUAACUUGAGUAAAUGCUUUGUCCCUGCAUGCUUUGGCUCCUUUACUACUAACCCUGGGGCCUGUGAUAUCUUUAAAUAUAAACAAAGCCCAGGAUCAAUUCUAGAUAACAGAGAGUUAAUUUGCAGAAAAGAUCAAUUUCAGAUUUAGUUCCUCUGGAUCUAUUUCUAGAACUAAAUUCUGUAUUGGGGUUGGAUCAGAGAAGUAGAAACACCGGAAGUGCUAUUUAACAAAGGAUUUAUUAUAGGGAUUUUUUUUUUUUUUCUUUUUAGGGCCACACCUGCAGCAUAUGGAAGUUCCUGGCCUAGGGAUCAAAUUGAAGCUGAAGCUACAGCAACACUGGAUCUGAACCACAUCUAUUACUUAUGCUGCAGCUUGCAGCAACAGAGGAUCCUUCACCCACUGAGCAAGGCCAGGGUGUGAACCUGCAUCCUCACUAUGUCAGGUUCUUAACCUGCUAAGCCAUAUUGGGAACUCCUGUUAUAGGGAUUUGACUUUAUGAACAUGUAACAGCUGGUUGAAGUGUCUGUCUGAAGCUUUUGCUCCCACGUCCAGACCUGGGGCCCACUGUGGAUGGAGUAGGUGGCUCUGAAGGAAAGAUAGAUGAGAAAUAGAGGGUGAGGAUUUAACAAGGAGAGAUCAGGGAGUGUAAGGACAAGCUGGAAUCCACAGGGAUGAACUAGAACUCAUAUAGGUCUUAGCAACCUUUCAGGAUCUGACUGUGAUUAUAGAUGGACCUGCAGGAGAAGCAGGUAUUUUCAUAAUGAUGGUGAAUGAAGCAGGACUCUGAAAAGCUAAAGGAAGGUAUCCAACAGGGUCUGGAAAUACUGCAACCCUGGCUGUUGUCACAUUUCCACCAGGUGAGCCAAGGUAUAUGUGACAGAGUGCCCUGGAGCACCCUGGCUAUGCUUCACCUCUGUCUUCCAAAUCUUAUGUGAAAUGUUUCUUGUUUUCUGACCCACACUAAUCUGGAACUAUGCCUGGAAGGGAAUUCUGGAAACACAGUUUUGGCUCAGCUUAAAACAGACAACAAGAAAAUGUCACAGUCAAGAUUUGAUGAGUGAACAAUUAACCACUUUUAAGAAUGAACUGCAGUGAAUUUCAGCAGUCUGAAUACUCAGAACUCUCCUCUUCCCUAGGGAACCUAAUACUUCUUCUGUGGAAAAUAUAUUUAUUUCCAUUUGCUUGUUUAUUUGCUAGCAUCAAAUCUCUCACCACCUACCUUCUAUGAAGCAUCAUCUCAGCCCAUCCACUAGAACUUUUAGGUUUGCAUGAGCUUCAACCCAUUUAUCUGUGUCAUAGAAGCCUUCCUGCCCUAGAUUAACCAAGCAUCACUUUCUCGAUGUUUUGAUUAUUCUAAAUGUCUAUGUCAACAUGCAAGAGUAAUCAAGUAGCAUUUAGAGAAAGGGUUCAGGAAGAGAUAAAAGAUAAUAAAAGCUGCAGCUUGUGUAACGGAGCGUGUUAUGUUAACUUCUUUAGAUAAUGAAAACAAGGAAGCAAGGAGAGCUAAAGAAAAUAAAGAUGAGCUGCUUUCCCUCACCCCAAACCUCAAUCCUAAUAUGUUUACAACAAGCCACCAUCUAUCAGGGUAAAGAUACAUCUUCAAAAAUUAAGAGAUCCCUGAUAGUUUUUCAUUAAUAUAAAAUGUUCCAAUAUUUGCUAAUUUGGAUAUAGGAAGUUAAUUCACUAAGAGUAAUUAUAGAAGUGAUUCACAUUGCAUUGUUUCCAAUAUAGAAAGUCGAGCCAAGCAUUUAAAACCCUGUUUAAAUAGACACAGUUACUAUAUCUAAUCAACACAGCAGUGGGGCUUGCCAAAAACCUAUAAAACUAAUGGAUUUGCAAGAAAAUUACAUCACCUUCAAAUCAAUGCUGGUAACACAGGUGGCAUUUAUAAAAAGCAAAGAAAUUGACAUCAACACAGCCCAUCUCUGCUGCCUGCCAAUGAGCACUCCAGCUUUAAGGAAAGAUCUUCUUUCUUCCAAGAAUUAUAUUUAAAUACGCUAACUUAAAUCAUUCUAAAAUAGUGUAGUAGAAAGGACCAGAGAUGGUUCUAAAAAUAUGUCAAUUGAUAAAUUAAGAAUACUCUGGUUUUAGUUUAUUAGGGCUGUCCUUAUCCAGCAAUGAGCAAAUAGUCUUUAAAAACAGAGUUUCUUUUCCUAUUGAAAAAAUAAAUAAAAGGAUUCACCAUCUAACUCAAACAUGACUUGCUUCUUCACCAAAGAGGCCCACAGAAACUGCAGUGCACAGUGUUAUAAAAAAGCAGCUGAGGACCCCAACCUGUGGCUGCAGGCAUAACCUCUGCUUUAGGGACCUGCAUUACUUAGCAGAUGGAAUUAAAAUUCUGAUAAGUGAUAUAAAAGGUUUAUAAGGGAGGAAAUUGUUGUGUGGUCACAUUGUCUGCCUUAAUCCCUUCCAGUCUGUGCUACCCAGCUUGUUAAAACCAAUCCAUGAGGAAUCAUUUUCACCUUGAAAACUCCAGAUGUUCAUAUGGAGCUUAGAAACAAAGCUAUCCAGAAAAUGCUUUCCUGGAUAAUCCUAGAGAAAUAGGAGGUAUGUAUCAAAAGUGUGUGCAUGCACACACACACACACACUGUUUACACACUGCCAUCAUAAAACACCUAUAUGAAAUUAACAUAUUUCCUGGGAAGAGAUACUGUGUGCUACAAAUAUAAUCAGUUACAAAUCUAUUCAAGCAUAGAAUGGCUUGUAUUCCACUGACUGAGCUACACAAAUAUUCCAUCUACAGGACUAGAUACUGCUAUCAAAUAUUUAGAUCAUUUGGCUUUAGAGGGAUAUCUGUACUGUCUCCUAAGAACAUUUUGUCCUCUCCUUUCAAAAAAUAAUCAGAGAAACUCAGAAGCAUUAGUUACACAGUGGAAGGGCCAAGUAGGUAAUAGUCCAUUUAACCGUAAGUAUUGGCAUCUUCCAAGGUGUAUUUUGUACAUGAGGACUAUAAACUUCAAGGGACUGUGUGAGCAGUAAUCAGGAUAAAGGCAUGUACGUAUAGGAGGAUUCUUCCAUGAGUUGCUAUAGAAAGGGAGGGUUUAAGUAAGGAUAUCAUUAAUAUAAUUAGCUACAAAAUUCUUUUUUUAAAACCAUGGUAGGAGACCAAUCAAGAUGGCAGAGUAAGAGGAAAUGGAACUCACCUCCCCAGUGAACACAUCAAAAAUACAACUAUGGAACAAUUCUCACUGAAAGUGUACUGGAAAUCGGCAGAAAGACUCCUGCACAACAAGGGCUGCAAGAAAGAUUCACACAUAAUAGGUCAGAAGGGAAGAAAUGCUCUCAGGUCAGGAACUGUGCAUGGGGAGGGAGACUCAGAGGAAAAGGGAGAAUUUAUGGGCAGAGCCCCUCCCUGGGGAUGGGCAGCGAGAGCCGCAGUUUGUGUGCUCCAGUCCUAGGGUUCUACACAGGGGAAAUGAGCCCCCCUUGUUUGGCUGGAAGACCAAUAUGAGGGUGUGGAAAGGCUGGACUCUGCUCCUGAGGAGUGUGUGGGGGCUGGUGUGCCCCCAAGGCAAGGUGGGAGGGUGGAGAGGGCUCUGCUCUAGCAGCUGCCUGGCUUCCCAGAAACCAAGAAACCACCUUGGAGUACACCUCAGCCCCAGCCAUAUGAAUACUCCAGCCCCACUCAGUCCACAUCACAGCACAGCACUGUACUUAGGGUAGCCAUGACUGGGGAGAAAACUCUCCCCGGGGAUGCAGAGGCAGUCAGGUCCCAGGGCAGAGCCUGAGUGGGGUGGCUGGGGCCAUGGUUGGUGCUUAUGCUGGAAAUACAGAAGAAGUAGCCCAGAACUCUGACAGUGGUCUCUCUGUUACUGAUGAUGCCCCAAAAUGCUCUGAGAGCUGACAUGAACCCCAUCUGCUUUGCAAUGUGGCUCCACAACAGGGCAGGGGUGGCAGAGGCUGGAGACAUAGAUGAGCUGUGAGGGACAAAGGGGACUUGCACCUGAGGGUCUGUCUGAGCAAAGCUAGGGAAAAAAUUAGGGGCGCCUCCACAGGCAGUGCAUUGGAGACAGUUCAGAUCUCUGUCUGUGGCUGAUAACCCAUAGGGCUACCACCCCUGCUUCAGCAUUCCCCCACUCUGGGGCAAGGGUCCCAGUGCUGGGAAAGGGAAAAGCAUGCACCUAAAGGGAACAGAACCAGCUCAAGCUCAAACUUCAAGGCUUCUGCUCUAGUAACUUGGGAUCAGACCCUACCCACAAUAAGGUAGUAGGGGCCACCAAGCCGAGGAGGAGUCCCACCUCACACCUGGCUCCAGCUCUUGUCCCUCCAUCUCCAGCCCCACCACCUACAGGGUGAUAGAUACCAGCACACCCUGAGGAAAGACAGGACUUGCAUCCACGUCAAAUCCAGCUCUCCCAGCAAAGGCACUGGGUACACCCAGUCUGUGUAAAGAUACACCUGGAUAAGAACAUCCUUUCAAGACAGUAGCAGGUAACUGUUUCAUGGAGGUAGAGAAAGGUAAACAAAAUGAAAAGGCAGGGGAAUGGUUCUCAAUUGAAAGAACAAGAGGGAACCUCUGAAAAAAAAAUGAAACAGAAAGAAUUUACCAGAUAAAGAAUUCAAAGCACUGGUAAUAAAAAUGUUAACUGAAUUAGGGAAAAGAAUAGAUGAACCCAGUGAGAAUUUUAA